AACGCACAUUGCACCUGCCAGCACUCUGGCAGGUAUGCCUGUUCGAGCGUCAUUUCAAACCUCAGGCCUCGCCUGCUGUUGGGGCUCUCCGGCCUGCCGGACGCCCCCAAACGCAGUGGCGGAGCGCCGCGUGCUCUGAGCGUAGUAACGUACUCGCUGCUGGGCGCCGGCGUGCCUCGCCGUAAAACCACCACACCAGCGUUUGACCUCGGAUCAGGUAGGGAUACCCGCUGAACUUAA
rnacentral:misc_RNA from 1 species